rnacentral:rRNA from 1 species
CCGCCGGCGACCGGCGCACGGGUGGGUAACACGUAUGCAACCUGGCCGUGACAGAUGGAUAACCGGGAGAAAUCCCGCCUAAUACAACAUAAUGCCGGGAGGGGACAUCCCCUGCCGGUCAAAGGGGGCGACCCCGGUCAUGGAUGGGCAUGCGGCGCAUUAGGUAGUUGGUGGGGCAACGGCCCACCAAGCCGACGAUGCGUAGGGGUUCUGAGAGGAAGGUCCCCCACAUUGGAACUGAGACACGGUCCAAACUCCUACGGAAGGCAGCAG